UACGGAGGGUGCGAGCGUUAUCCGGAUUCACUGGGUUUAAAGGGUGCGUAGGUGGGAAUGUAAGUCAGUGGUGAAAUCUCUGAGCUUAACUCAGAAACUGCCAUUGAUACUAUGUUUCUUGAAUUUUCUGGAGGUCAGCGGAAUAUGUCAUGUAGCGGUGAAAUGCUUAGAUAUGACAUAGAGCACCAAUUGCGAAGGCAGCUGGCUACAGGGAUAUUGACACUGAGGCACGAAAGCGUGGGGAUCAAACAGG
rnacentral:rRNA from 1 species